GAGUUUGAUCCUGGCUCAGAACAAACGCUGGCGGCGUGCCUAACACAUGCAAGUCGUACGAGAAAGUCGGCUUCGGCCGAUGAGUACAGUGGCGCACGGGUGAGUAACGCGUGGGUAAUCUGCCCCCCGGUCAGGAAUAACCCGCCGAAAGGCGGGCUAAUACCCGAUAACACUGACGCUCUGCGGAGUGCCUUUCAAAGAAGGCCUCUGUUUACAAGCUUUCGCCGGAGGAUGAGCCCGCGUACCAUUAGCUAGUUGGCAGGGUAAUGGCCUACCAAGGCAACGAUGGUUAGCUGGUCUGAGAGGAUGGCCAGCCACACUGGAACUGAGACACGGUCCAGACUCCUACGGGAGGCAGCAGUGAGGAAUCUUGCGCAAUGGGGGAAACCCUGACGCAGCAACGCCGCGUGAGUGAGGAAGGCCUUCGGGUCGUAAAGCUCUGUCAGAUGGGAAGAAAUGGGUGGGGGCUAAUAUCGUCCACCCUUGACGGUACCAUCAGAGGAAGCACCGGCUAACUCCGUGCCAGCAGCCGCGGUAC
rnacentral:rRNA from 1 species